GACUCUUGCACUCUUCACUCUUCUCUUCACUGUUCUGUUGAUAAAUCUUCGUUGAUCCUCCUCCGAACCACACCUGUUUCUCAUCUACAUUCAACAACGAAGUCGACACUUCGACAGGAAGCUAACAACUCUCAGCCUCUGAUUCUCAUUCUUCAUUACAAAAUUUCACCCUAGAUUGAAUGGACUGUGGAUUCUUGGAUUCUGGUAAUAAAUGUGACAGAUUUGUUAUCAAUAUUGAUAACCCCAAUAGAAUUUGCCUUCAUCGAGAUGUUAUCUAAAAAAAUACAUUAUCUGGAGAUAGCUGAGGGAUUUUUUUCCUUGAUAUGGUGUUGUAAUUCUUGGAAGUCUAUAGUAAUCAUCAUGACAUGUCUCAUGAUACAAUGUUGAGGCUCACACUCUCUUAUUAUCUGCCAAAUAUCAUUCUCAUUGCAUGUCUUCAAAUUCAAAGAUGUCGGAUUCUUGAGGCUUUAUCUCACAUGUUUGUAUUUGUGUACAAUAACUACAACCACAAUCGAUGACGGAAACAAAAAAUGAUGUUCACUAGUCGUGAGCGUGCUGCAAAGGUCAACCUCUUGGCUUAUUUUGAUGACAAGUCUAUCCUUGCAGAAAUUGACGUGAACAUAAAAGAUUAUUGAAAGACAUCAUUGUACACAUAAACAGCAUAUUGCUGCAUCAAAAGGGCACGAGAAGAUGAUUGGUCUAUUGAUAGAAGAAAAGGAGGUCGACUUUGAUGUCUGUUGCUAAUGAAGAAUGGAGCCAUAUCAAAGUCUGAAGCUGAUGAGGUCUAGAUAAGGUUGUUACAGUUUGAGGAAGUUUCACAUGAGUCGAGGAACUUUUGUAUAUCCUAUUUUGAAUAUUUCUAAUUCAUUGAUAGCAUGUAAUGAUUCCUCCUCUCCAUCUAUUUCUUAACUAGGAAACAAAAUUAAUUGUAACUGUCAUCUGUAAUGAUUCCUCCUCUCCAUUUGGUAGCCAAACACAGCAAAAACUUAAAUCAAGUUAAAACUCCAUGAGUUCCAUA